UUAUCACUAGGCUGUAAUGUAAACACUGCAUUUUCUCUGAAGCAAAAAGCCUGAAGAGAAUGAUUCGACUCACCAGAACAAAUACGAUAAGCUAUAGUUGUUCUGGUGAUUUUAAAACACCCUUUAAAAACAUUGCCCGCAUCCGCCCCUUUCUUAUGCAAGGUGCUACUAAGGAGCUUGUCCAUGCUCUAGUAAUCUCUCGCAUGGAUUAUUGUAAUCCUCUCCUAAUUGGUAUUCCCAGAAGUCGUAUUGCCCCGCUACAGUCUGUAAUGAAUGUUGCCGCCAGACUGAUUUUCCUCUCCAGUCGCUCAUCUCACACCUCACCCCUCUGUCAGUCCUUACAUUGGC